GCUCAGCUGUUUUUUCUUCUAUGUUGUGUUUUGUAGCCUGUUUACUUUUCCCCCAUUUAGUUGUAUUGUAAUCCUGUCAUGUAAUGUUGUCAUUUUUAUUUAACAUUUCCAUUAAUGCGGGAGGUUUGGCAUGCCGCAAAACCAGGUUCAACCCACCAUUUUUUUCUUAAAAUAUCUGUACCAAGUCAGGAAAAUUAUUAUAUUAUAAUUCG
rnacentral:lncRNA from 1 species